UUGAAGCUAGAGGUGUCA
rnacentral:sRNA from 1 species